AAGGGUACGUAGGCGGCGCUUUAAGUCAGGUGUGAAAGGCAUGGGCUCAACCCAUGUAAGCACUUGAAACUGGAGCGCUUGAGGGAAGGAGAGGAAAGUGGAAUUCCUAGUGUAGCGGUGAAAUGCGUAGAUAUUAGGAGGAAUACCGGUGGCGAAGGCGACUUUCUGGACUUUUUCUGACGCUGAGGUACGAAAGCGUGGGGAGCAAACAGGAUUAGAUACCCUGGUAGUCCACGCCGUAAAU
rnacentral:rRNA from 1 species